AUUGAACGCUGGCGGCAGGCUUAACACAUGCAAGUCGAACGAGUGGCGGACGGGUGAGUAAUGUCUGGGAAACUGCCUGAUGGAGGGGGAUAACUACUGGAAACGGUAGCUAAUACCGCAUACCAUCGGAUGUGCCCAGAUGGGAUUAGCUAGUAGGUGGGGUAAAGGCUCACCUAGGCGACGAUCCCUAGCUGGUCUGAGAGGAUUACCAGCCACACUGGAACUGAGACACGGUCCAGACUCCGACGGUAGGUAGCAGUGGGGAAUAUUGCACCAUGGGCGCAAGCCUGAUGCAGCCAUGCCGCGUGUGUGAAGAAGGCCUUCGGGUUGUAAAGUACUUUCAGCGGGGAGGCGUUACACGCAGAAGAAGCACCGGCUAACUCCUGGCCAGCAGCCGCGGUAAUUC
rnacentral:rRNA from 1 species